rnacentral:rRNA from 1 species
GGCAAGCAUCUUCUUGUUUUUAAAGACCUAGCAAUAGGUAUGCUUAGGGAGGAGCUUGCGUCACAUUAGUUAGUUGGUGGGGUAAAGGCCUACCAAGACUAUGAUGUGUAGCCGGGCUGAGAGGUUGAACGGCCACAUUGGGACUGAGACACGGCCCAAACUCCUACGGGAGGCAGCAGUAGGGAAUUUUCGGCAAUGGAGGAAACUCUGACCGAGCAACGCCGCGUGAACGAUGAAGUAUUUCGGUACGUAAAGUUCUUUUAUUAGGGAAGAAUAAAUGAUGGAAAAAUCAUUCUGACGGUACCUAAUGAAUAAGCCCCGGCUAACUAUGUGCCAGCAGCCGCGGUAAUACAUAGGGGGCAAGCGUUAUCCGGAAUUAUUGGGCGUAAAGGGUGCGUAGGCGGUUAAAUAAGUUUAUGGUCUAAGUGCAAUGCUCAACAUUGUGAUGCUAUAAAAACUGUUUAGCUAGAGUAAGAUAGAGGCAAGUGGAAUUCCAUGUGUAGUGGUAAAAUGCGUAAAUAUAUGGAGGAACACCAGUAGCGAAGGCGGCUUGCUGGGUCUUUACUGACGCUGAGGCACGAAAGCGUGGGGAGCAAACAGGAUUAGAUACCCUGGUAGUCCACGCCGUAAACGAUGAGUACUAAACGUUGGGUAAAACCAGUGUUGAAGUUAACACAUUAAGUACUCCGCCUGAGUAGUACGUACGCAAGUAUGAAACUUAAAGGAAUUGACGGGACUCCGCACAAGCGGUGGAUCAUGUUGUUUAAUUCGAAGGUACCCGAAAAACCUCACCAGGUCUUGACAUGCUUCUGCAAAGCUGUAGAAACACAGUGGAGGUUAUCAGUUGCACAGGUGGUGCAUGGUUGUCGUCAGCUCGUGUCGUGAGAUGUUGGGUUAAGUCCCGCAACGAGCGCAACCCUUAUUGUUAGUUACCAGCACGUAAUGGUGGGGACUUUAGCAAGACUGCCAGUGAUAAAUUGGAGGAAGGUGGGGACGACGUCAAAUCAUCAUGCCCCUUAUGACCUGGGCUACAAACGUGAUACAAUGGCUGUUACAAAGGGUAGCUGAAGCGCAAGUUUUUGGCGAAUCUCAAAAAAACAGUCUCAGUUCGGAUUGAAGUCUGCAACUCGACUUCAUGAAGUUGGAAUCGCUAGUAAUCGCGAAUCAGCAGUCGCG